GAAAAAAAAAAGGAAGAGUUGUAAAUAAGUUUAGACAAGUAUGUGUCAUGAACCAAACUACAGCUUUUCUGAACAUGUCAUUAGGAACUUUACAUCACACAUUAUCAACAUGGGGCAUGGUGUUAAUUCCUGAUACUGCAUUUGCAUCUUGGGAGACAGACUCCAGAUGAAUUACUGUGUACAGAAGAAAAUACUUUAACAGGAACAUAAUUAUAGCAAAACUGACAUUGAAGUGCACAAAAUUACAGGAUUACAUUUUCUGGCCUCAUUCAGUAUAUGAGAUGGAUAAUGCUGAAAUACAUGAAUCACACUUUAGCCUGUGAUUCAUUUCCAACUUAUGUGACAAAUACAAUGAACAUGGCAAGAAGCUAGAUUAAAAAAAAAAAGAAAAGGCUGGGGGGGAAGGGAAAAACUUUAUGGUUAAUACCAUUACAACGUCCAAAACACCUCAGUCCUACUCCCACCUCAAUGAGUUCUUUCAUCUUUAAUUUCAGAUCUCCUCAGGUGACCUCCAGUAAGAUACUCUUGCUUUUCUAACUCUGCAACUUCGGAUUUGCAUCUGAUUUGUGAACUACUGGGUACACAAAGCUGUAACUAAAAUCCACUGGUACUACGCGUGUGCUAUUUUUGGAAAAAAAAAAUCAGUCAGAAGCAUUUCAUAUGGAGCAGCUAAGAAAAGUGGAAGGGCUUUUUUCCUUGCAUUUUCUGCGAGGUAACUCCUAGUCUAAGUUAGGAAUGCCUCCAGAUUCUUCAUCUGUGGCUCAAGUGAGAAGCAAACAUUUGUGAAGCUCUCUGGUAGUACAGUGAGAAGCGCCACACAGAACACCACAAUUCAAUUAAAUUCUGUUGUCUAGGAACAAGAGGAUGAUCUUUGGUUAAGAGAACCAUGGAGAAGGAAGGAAAGGACAAGCUCAGCUUCUUGGCCACAGCCAUUUGAGAGAGUAAUGGGCCACUGCACAAAGCCCAGCUUGUCCAUAGAUACAAGAAUCUAAUUGAGCAAAAGAAGUUCAAUCAUCAAGAAGGUGGAUUAGGCAAGAAAAAAGUUCUACUAAUCCCAAGCAAAAAUAGUGCUGUCAAGUUUGCCAUCUUCUGGACUGGGUGAUUAAGAUGCCUCUCUUUUUCCAGAGAUAAAGCUGCAAAUAAGAAAAGCAGAAAGAUUCUUUUCAUCUCUGCUCCCUUUAUUUCCCCUUUGAUAUGCACUAGCUCUACCUCAUCUUCAAGCCAGUACCUCUAUUUUUCCUCUUCUCCCUUUUGCUGAACAUUUAACUCCUCCUUUUUUAACAUCCAACAGGGCAACUGUCUCCAUUUUUUAAUAAGACUGCUAAAACUAAAAGGAAUGGGACAACAGGAAAAAAAAGAGUGUUAAAAUAUCAGCCUUACCUAAUAUUUUAACUUCAAAGUUACUCCUUUCUGUUUCUAACACUGCAGAAGUGCCACACCUUGUUUAACACUGGUGUAUAAACACGAGUAUUUUAAUUCAGCUCAGGAGCUUACCUUGAAAGUCCACUUAUGGUGCUUUAAGUAUGCAUAACAAAACUGUCUCAAAGCAUGUGAACAGGGCUCUCUUCACACAAAACUGAACUGAAAACACACUGUGACGGUGCUGGUCUUAUGGCAGGACAUUGCUGCCUCUUAAAACUUUUCCCAUCCCUUACCCAUCAGAAUCAGUUGCUCAUAGGCCCUUGGAGUAAGGUUCCUGCUUGGCUGACCAGCUUGGGAACUUGAUUUGGGAUAAGCUUUGGGCGACCACAAGAAUUUCACUGAGCCUAAAAAUCUCCAGGUUGCAGGGAGCAUGAAGCAGAGCAUGUAGAAAAAUUGAUGAGAAGUAGCAGAGGAGGAGAUAAGACAACUUGCAAGUGAAGAAGUAGGUUUCUGGCACCCAUUGGGUAAGAAUGUGUUACUUUCUGCAGGUCCCUGCUAUGUCCAUGGAAUGAAAGAACACUUUCCCAGUGCUUUUCCUGGCAGGUCUGGGCAAACCAGCGGGGUCAUUUCUGGCUCAAGGCUGUAAACAGCAUGUUGGCUCCCCUCCAUAUUAUGCAGGUAGCUCACAAGGCACUGUGUAAUAUUAUGGUAAGAUAAACAGCUUUAAUUCUUUGGGAUCGUACAGCCGUGCAAGAAACACGAGCAACAUGAAGUAUGAAAUCCACAGUGCCAUAAGGCCUCCUGCACCCUGGCUUAUGCUUUGAGCAGUGACAGCAGGGAAGAAAUGUGUCGCCUCUUGUGUGAGGACAGGAGCAGCAGCACAGAAACUCUGUUAUCUCCUUCACACCACUGGAGCAGCUCCAGUGGGAACAUUGGGACCUACUGAAGAGUGCAAGCUAGAGUUCAUCUCUCAAAGACAUUCUCACACGAUUGACAGACAUCAGUGUACUGACAUAUCACAGUUUUUAUUGUGGCAGAGUCUAAAACUGUACUUCAGGUAUUCCUGCUGUUGGUACUCCUGCAAAUUGCAGAUUACUUUCUUCAAAAGUUGUCUAUGCAAAUUUUUACCUGGGGGAAGUCUGCAGUAAAUUCUUAAUCUUGUACAAUCCAGGUAAGGGACUCUAUUCUAGCUGUAGUCUCUACUUCAAAAUUGCAGCAUGCAUAAACCUGUCUCUGAUUUAAAUACAAAACUGUGACUAAAACUCCAUAAUUUGCUUAGCAAUGUGCUGUUGCUUGUUCAGUGAAACAACAUGGUGCUCUUUAGGACUACUCUAGUUUUAGUUCUUGAAUGUU